AUUGAACGCUGGCGGCAGGCCUAACACAUGCAAGUCGAACGAGUGGCGGACGGGUGAGUCAUGUCUGGGAAACUGCCUGAUGGAGGGGGAUAACUACUGGAAACGGUAGCUAAUACCGCAUACCAUCGGAUGUGCCAAGAUGGGAUUCGCUAGUAGGUGGGGUAAAGGCUCACCUAGGCGACGAUCCCUAGCUGGUCUGAGAGCAUGACCAGCAACACUGGAACUGAGACACGGUCCAGACUCCUACGGGAGGCAGUAGUGGGGAAUAUUCCACAAUGGGCGAAAGCCUGAUGCAGCCAUGCCGCGUGAAUGAUGAAGGCCUUCGGGUUGUAAAGUACUUUCAGCGGGGAAGCGUUACCCGCAUAAGAAGCACCGGCUAACUCCGUGCCAGCAGCCGCGGUAAUUC
rnacentral:rRNA from 1 species